UACAGAGGGUGCGAGCGUUAAUCGGAAUUACUGGGCGUAAAGCGCACGUAGGCGGCUUGGUAUGUCGGGUGUGAAAUCCCCCGGGCUCAACCUGGGAACUGCAUCCGAAAACUGCCUUUGCUCGAGUAUGGGAGAGGGAAGUGGAAUUUUCCGGUGUAGCGGUGAAAAUGCGUAGAUAUCGGAAAGGAACAUCAGUGGCGAAAGGCGACUUCCUG
rnacentral:rRNA from 1 species